rnacentral:rRNA from 1 species
AGUCAAUUCAAUUCAGCAUUGUCAAUUUAUCCAGAACUUCUCUCUUUUCCUCGGUGAAACAAGAAUCUUUUUUGUUCAAACAAAAGCGCUUAGUUUAGCCUUUGUUUCCUCUGUGCUGCAUCUUCUUUAAAGAUUCAUCCAAUGGAAUCCCAACUCCCUUUCUUUUGGAUUUCCAUUCUAUUUAGAUAUAGUGUAUGUAGAUCUAAUUCUUAUAUAAAGAAAACUUUCUCGUUUCACUUUGUCUCGCUUUCUCUAGAAUCUCUAGAAAAAAGAAUAGCUCUAUCCUUUAUUUAAUAUUUAAUAAUAAAAUAAUAAGAGACUAUUAAAUAAAAAUGAGAAUACUACUAAAUUAGAACCUAAUUAAGAUAGUAGGACUAAUCUAUG